AUUCCAGCUCCAAUAGCGUAUAUUAAAGUUGUUGCGGUUAAAAAGCUCGUAGUUGGAUCUCGGCAGGCAGGGGGUGGUUCGCUCCUUAGCGCUACUGCCCCAUUUGCCUGUGUGAUUGGCAGAGGUUUCGGGGUGCCCUUUAUUGAGUGACCCGGAGCGCUGUCAGGUUUACUUUGAAAAAAUUAGAGUGCUCAAAGCAGGCUUUUCACGCUUGAAUAUUCGUGCAUGGAAUAAUAGAAUAGGAACUCGUUUCUAUUUUGUUGGUUUUCGGAAAUCGAGUUAAUGAUUAAUAGGGACAAUUGGGGGCAUUAGUAUUCAGACGACAGAGGUGAAAUUCUUGGACCGUCUGAAGACUAACUACUGCGAAAGCAUUUGCCAAGAGUGUUUUCAUCG
rnacentral:rRNA from 1 species